UCCAUUGAAACCCAAAACCCGGAUGUUUCCAACCUUGACACUAGUCACUCUAUCCCCAAAAUGGCCAAUCGAAUUGACGACCAUGUUUUCAGAUCAAAACUCCCUGAAAUUCCCAUCUCCAACCACCUCCCUCUCCACACCUACUGCUUUGAAAACUACUCCCAAUUCGCCGAUCGUCCAUGCUUGAUCGUCGGAUCCACCAACAAAACCUACUCCUUUGCAGAAACCCACCUCAUUUCUCGCAAAGUCGGAGCUGGGUUCGCCCACCUCGGCCUCAAACAGGGAGACGUCGUCAUGAUCCUCCUCCAGAACUGCGCCGAAUUCGCGUUCUCCUUUCUCGGAGCUUCCAUGGUCGGAGCCGUCACCACCACCGCCAACCCCUUCUACACUUCGGCCGAAAUUUUCAAGCAGUUGAAUGCUUCCAAGGCGAAAAUCGUCGUCACGCAGGCGCAGUACGUCGACAAGCUCCGGGACUACCCCGACGGACAGGUGGCAAAGAUCGGAGAAGGUUUCACCGUCAUUACCAUCGACGAUCCGCCGGAGAACUGCAUGCAUUUCUCGGUGGUGUCGGAGGCGAACGAGAGCGAACUUCCGGAGGUUUCGAUCAACUCCGACGACCCAGUGGCGCUGCCGUUCUCCUCUGGCACUACCGGGCUUCCGAAGGGGGUGGUCCUGACGCACAAGAGCUUGAUCACAAGCGUGGCUCAGCAGGUGGACGGCGAGAACCCUAACCUCCACCUGACGCCGGACGACGUCGUUUUGUGUGUGCUGCCGCUGUUCCACAUAUACUCUCUGAACAGCGUGCUUCUCUGCUCGCUGAGGGCCGGCGCGGCGGUGCUGCUGAUGCAGAAGUUCGAGAUUGGAACUCUGCUGGAGCUGAUCCAGCGCUACCGGGUGUCGGUGGCGGCGGUGGUGCCCCCGCUGGUGCUGGCGCUGGCGAAGAACCCGAUGGUGGAGAGCUUCGACCUGAGCUCAAUCCGGGUGGUGCUGUCCGGGGCAGCCCCGCUGGGGAAGGAGCUGGAGGCGGCUCUCCGGAGCAGGGUGCCUCAGGCGGUGCUUGGCCAGGUAUGAUUACUAAUUCACUGCGCGUCAAACAAUCCAUGCAUGGAAGGUUAUUUUCGUUAUUUUAUCAAAAUCGUGAGGGCAUUUUUGUCCUUUGACUUGAAAAAAAAAACCAUAAUCAUGACCCCAAAACAACCUUUGAAAAUAUUUUAUCCAAAUAGGGAUAAUGGGUGACAAUUGCAUGACUACCUGAAUGCCUCUUUUGGGGUGCCCUUAACCAACCACAGAGCAUAUUUGUUAUUUACGAAAAAAGAGAGGGUAUUUUGGUAUUUGAAUUAUCAAAAUUUUGGAAAAAUAUAUCUACAAUAUAUAGUCUAUUUUACAGCUAGAUUUUAACAAAAAUAAAAUUAAUAAAUAUAAUAUUCUCUUGAUGAUUUAACUUAAAUGAUAGAUAUUCAAUUAAUUUUUUUAAAAAAUAUUGAAAGUAGUUAAAUUACAUCUUACCUUACAUUGAAGAGGCCAUUUUGGGAAAUAUAAAAAAUAAGCAUUACUCAUAAACUAAUUAAAAAAAUAUUAAUAAAAAAUAGAGAAAUGGUCAAUAAUAAUAAUAAUAAAAUUAUAUAUUUAUGCAAUUUAAAAGAAAAUCACAUAAUGUAAAAUUAAAAAAAAAAUUAUUAUUUUUAAUGGGACAAAGUAGGGCUGGCAGGUGGUUUGGAAAUAUCGAAGGCCGCCACUAAUCUCAUCCCAUGGGUCACAUUCAAGCCAACCGGCUUUGAAUUCAAUUUUUCUCAAACCCACCAACCAAAUAAAGUGAGAAAUUAAAUUCCCAAAUAAUUAAAAAAUUCAAGUAAAAAAUGGUCUAAUUUGACCCUUUCAAGUUUGACUUCAUCAAUUUGACUUUGCAAGUUUAAAUUUGGAUUUUUAUUUUUAUUUUUUUAUUUUUGGGAAGUUGUGUAUAUUGGAUUUAUGUUGAGUCGAAGUCGAAAAUAGUAUACUUUGACCCUUUCUAGUCUGACUUCAUCAUUUGAACUUGCACGUGUGUUGGACCCUUUUUUUUUUUUAAAUAUGAAUCAAAAUUAAACAAAAUUUUAAAAAUAUUAUUUUAUUAAAAUAAAAUUAAUAAAAUAAUAAGCUUUUAUGUGUAGGGUUAUGGAAUGACAGAGGCCGGACCGGUGUUAUCGAUGUGCCUAGCCUUCGCCAAGCAGCCCUUUCCUACUAAGUCCGGCUCGUGCGGCACCGUUGUCCGCAAUGCUGAGCUCAAGGUCGUCGACCCUGAGACCGGUUGCUCCCUCGGCCGCAACCAACCGGGCGAGAUCUGCAUUCGAGGACAACAGAUUAUGAAAGGUUUGACUACUGAGAAAAGCGUUCAGCUACUAUGAUAGAAAAUGAACAAUUGAAGCAACUCCAUGCAUGCUCAUUCAUCAUUUUAACUAUAAUACCUGUAUUAUAGGAUACUUGAACGAUCCCGAGGCCACGGCCUCUACCAUCGAUGUUGACGGUUGGCUACACACCGGUGACAUUGGCUAUGUUGACGAUGAUGAAGAGGUGUUCAUCGUAGAUAGAGUGAAAGAACUCAUCAAAUUCAAAGGCUUCCAGGCAUGUAUUCUUAUGCUCCAUUUUCCCCUUCAAUUACUAUCCUACUAUUUCGUAGAAGAACAUCAUAUGUUGACACCAAGAGGAAGUUUGGAACGGUGGAAUAGAUAAUGGAAAUGGGAAAUCAAUUCAAUUCCUAUUCAUUAACAUGUUCGAAUUGUUCUUCUAAAUGGGAAUAAGAACAAAAAAUUAAUUGUUGCGGAAAUCAAAUUUUACUCUUAUUAGGAUUCUGAUUCCUCUUUUCCACAUGGUAUCGUAAUUUACCUUUAUUCAUAUCCUAUUUCCACUUUUAUACCCAUAUGUCAAACAUUUCUGAAAAGUAUGUUUCACAUACAAGAAUAGAAAUGAUAAUAUAAAUAAGAAUAAAGGUGAAUCAAAAUACCAUGUGAAAAGAGACGAAUCAAAAUCCUAAUACGAGUAGGUUUUGGUUUCCGUGAUAGUAAAUUUUUUUCCCCUAUUGUCAUUCUAACAAGUAAUCCAAAUUCAGUAAUAAAUGAGAAAUGGAAUGGAUGUCCCACUCUCCUUUUCAUUCCAUAUUCCAAUGUUCCAAACAUGCCAUAAAAGUUACCUCAUUAGGGUCAUCGAUUAAUGUUGAAGUGCCUAAAAGGUAGUAAGUUAGCUACCAUCUCUACAAUAAUGUAGUUAAAUACUAACACUAAAAGAUUGCCUUCUUAGGAUUACCGAUCAAUAUCGAAUCGCAAUGAGAAGUAUGAAGGUAGACUGCAUUUCAUCAAUAGUAUAGUUACAAUAUUACAUAUUAACUCCAAAACGAUACCUUAUCUUCCCUCCCUCUACACAUUAACACUAGAAGUUUACCUUAUUGAUUAGGGUCAUCGACAUCAUUUGGGUUCCUAUAACAUGUAGUUAUGGUUACCUUAAGUUUUAGGGUCAUUGACAUUGAAAUGCAACAAAAAGUACAAGGAUCGCUUACCUUCCCUAUACUAGUAUAAUUACAUGCUAACACUAAAACGUUACCUUAAUUUUUAGGGUCAUCAACAUUGUUGAACGAUUUUGUAGAGUAGUCAGGUCCUUUACUUUUGAAGGAGGUUACCUUAAAACUAAUCCUUUUCCAAAAAAAUUUUAAAAAAAAAAUUCUAAAUCUAGAAUGUUUUUGAAAAUAUUCACCAAAUUAGUCUUCUAGUACAUCAUCGUUCACUUUAUUUUUUUAUUUUUCAUGUUAAAACCACUGUCAAUGACUCUGG
rnacentral:lncRNA from 1 species